AUUGAACGCUGGCGGCAGGCCUAACACAUGCAAGUCGAGCGUGAAAGCCUUCGGGUGAGUAAAGCGGCGGACGGGUGAGUAACGCGUGGGAAUCUGCCCGGUAGCGGGGACAAGCAGUCGGAAACGACGAUGCUAAUAACCGCAUACCGCCCUGCAGGGGAAAGGACAGGGAGGUCUUCGGACCUUGCACUAUCGGAUGAGCCGCGUCAGAUUAGCUGGUUGGUAGGGAUAGUCGCUACCAAGGCAACGAUCUGUAACUGGUCUGAGAGGAUGAUCAGUCACACUGGAACUGAGACACGGUCCAGACUCCUACGGGAGGCAGCAGUGGGAAUAUUGCACAAUGGGGAAGCCAUCGAUGCAGCCAUGCCGCGCUGUGUG
rnacentral:rRNA from 1 species